rnacentral:tRNA from 1 species
GGAGAAGUGGCUGAGCUGGCCGAAGGCACUCCCCUGCUAAGGGAGCAUUCGGGAUUAAAACCGAAUCGAGGGUUCGAAUCCCUCCUUCUCCGCCA